rnacentral:rRNA from 1 species
GACGAACGCUGGCGGCGUGCUUAACACAUGCAAGUCGAACGGAAAGGCCCUGCCUUUGUGGGGUGCUCGAGUGGCGAACGGGUGAGUAACACGUGAGUAACCUGCCCUUGACUUUGGGAUAACUUCAGGAAACUGGGGCUAAUACCGGAUAGGAGCUCCUGCUGCAUGGUGGGGGUUGGAAAGUUUCGGCGGUGGGGGAUGGACUCGCGGCUUAUCAGCUUGUUGGUGGGGUAGUGGCUUACCAAGGCUUUGACGGGUAGCCGGCCUGAGAGGGUGACCGGCCACAUGGGGACGGGGAUACGGCCCAGACUCCUACGGGAGGCAGCAGGGGGGAAUAUUGCACAAGGGGCGGAAGCCUGAUGCAGCAACGCCGCGUGCGGGAGGACGGCCUUCGGGUUGUAAACCGCUUUCGCCUGUGACGAAGCGUGAGUGACGGUAAUGGGUAAAGAAGCACCGGCUAACUACGUG